rnacentral:rRNA from 1 species
AUUGAACGCUGGCGGCAUGCUUAACACACGCAAGUCGAACGGCAGCAUGACAUAAUUUCGGUUAUGUUGAUGGCGAGUGGCGAACGGGUGAGUAACGCGUAGGAAUAUACCCUGAAGGGUGGGAUAACUUGGGGAAACUCAAGCUAAUACCGCAUAAUCUCUUAGGAGGAAAGCUGGGGACCGCAAGGCCUGGCGCUUUAGGAUUAGCCUGCGUCCGAUUAGCUAGUUGGUGGGGUAAAGGCCUACCAAGGCGACGAUCGGUAGCUGGUCUGAGAGGAUGAUCAGCCACACUGGGACUGAGACACGGCCCAGACUCCUACGGGAGGCAGCAGUGGGGAAUAUUGGACAAUGGGGGCAACCCUGAUCCAGCAAUGCCGCGUGUGUGAAGAAGGCCUGAGGGUUGUAAAGCACUUUAGUUGGGGAGGAUGGUAGACCAGGUUAAGAGCUAGGUUUAUUGACGUUACCCAAAGAAUAAGCACCGGCUAACUCCGUGCCAGCCGCCGCGGUAA